GGCAGCGGUUGAAGGGCUGGUGCCCUCCACGGACUUCAAAUCCGGCGUGUCGGGUUGCACUCGGCAGGUAGGUUCGAUUCCUAUGCGCUGCCGCCA
rnacentral:tRNA from 1 species